rnacentral:rRNA from 1 species
CUAUUUGGAAACGAUAGCUAAUACCGCAUAACAAUGGGUGACCCAUGUCAUUCAUUUAAAAGGGGCAACUGCUCCACUACAAGAUGGACCUGCGUUGUAUUAGCUAGUAGGUGAGGUAACGGCUCACCUAGGCGACGAUACAUAGCCGACCUGAGAGGGUGAUCGGCCACACUGGGACUGAGACACGGCCCAGACUCCUACGGGAGGCAGCAGUAGGGAAUCUUCGGCAAUGGGGGCAACCCUGACCGAGCAACGCCGCGUGAGUGAAGAAGGUUUUCGGAUCGUAAAGCUCUGUUGUUAGUCAAGAACGAGUGUGAGAGUGGAAAGUUCACACUGUGACGGUAGCUUACCAGAAAGGGACGGCUAACUACGUGCCAGCAGCCGCGGUAAUACGUAGGUCCCGAGCGUUGUCCGGAUUUAUUGGGCGUAAAGCGAGCGCAGGCGGUUUGAUAAGUCUGAAGUUAAAGGCUGUGGCUCAACCAUAGUUCGCUUUGGAAACUGUCAAACUUGAGUGCAGAAGGGGAGAGUGGAAUUCCAUGUGUAGCGGUGAAAUGCGUAGAUAUAUGGAGGAACACCGGUGGCGAAAGCGGCUCUCUGGUCUGUAACUGACGCUGAGGCUCGAAAGCGUGGGGAGCGAACAGGAUUAGAUACCCUGUAGUCCACGCCGUAAACGAUGAGUGCUAGGUGUUGGGUCCUUUCCGGGAUUCAG